CAAUUUCUUAUUCCAAUGUGAAUUUGAACGUAUGUUGCAUUGGAACCACUCAAUUAUAUUACUUGAACACUCAUUGUUUAUUGGAAUACUGAAUAGUCUUUUGUACUUCCAAUUCAUGACACGUUUUGUUCUUACCUUCCCAAUCAAUUUAUUUCCAACUUCUUCUACCUCAUUUCCUAAUUUUCUCUUCCCUUCAUUUGUUCUUCAUCUACCUCAUCUACUUCAUUUCCUAUUUUUCUCUUCCUUUCAUUUGCUCUUCAUUCUCGGAUCCGCAAUCGUUCAUAUUCUCUCCCAACUUUCAAAAUCCAAAAUCUCUGAUUUCGAUUUCCAACUUCUGCAUAUCCACAACAGAUGUAUUGCAAUCGAUUCAGUUUUUAAAUCAAAAGACAAUUCAUUUGAGAUAUGUUUUCUGCAAAUACUUAUAUUUGCAUAAUGCUGUUACAAUUCGUUUCAGUUCCUACAACUGUCACAUAAUCCUAUUGGGUUUUCAAUUGAAAAGGUGAGGCUGUGUUGCAUUAACAAUAUUUCAAUUUCAAAGUUAAAAAGCUUAAUGAUGUGCCUCUUGGAGAUUACAUCGGAGUUCAAUAGUCCAAGAAAGCUACAUAUGUGCCUCACACUGCAGGUAGGUACUAAGUGAGGCAUGCCAUGGAAAUCUUUCACUUGUCUACUUUAAUAUAAUAAAGUACAAUACAUAUGAAAUCCUAUAAUUAUCCUUAUAAUCACCAUUUUGAGGGUAAUAAUCGGGGACAUAACGGUAAUUGCAUCUCCUUUAUUAUUUUAAUUAAUAAAUAAAUAUUAUAAUUAUUUAGUAACAAUGAUUACACCCUUAACCAAUUAAAUUACACAAACCCUAAUUAUUACUAAUUGUUACAUUGGAACACGCUUUGUAACCAAAUUCACAUGGGUUUUGUUUUUCAUGCAUUGAAAAAUACAUCAGUUUUAAUUUUUAGUCCAUUCCAAUUCUUUCUCACCAGUUUUAAAUUAUUAAAUGUCUCUAAAAAAAAUAAAUCAUUAACUAUUAUUAAAUGUUACCUUUCCCAAUUUCUUAUUCCAAUGUGAAUUUGAACGUAUGUUGCAUUGGAACCACUCAAUUAUAUUACUUGAACACUCAUUGUUUAUUGGAAUACUGAAUAGUCUUUUGUACUUCCAAUUCAUGACACGUUUUGUUCUUACCUUCCCAAUCAAUUUAUUUCCAACUUCUUCUACCUCAUUUCCUAAUUUUCUCUUCCCUUCAUUUGUUCUUCAUCUACCUCAUCUACCUCAUUUCCUAUUUUUCUCUUCCUUUCAUUUGCUCUUCAUUCUCGGAUCCGCAAUCGUUCAUAUUCUCUCCCAACUUUCAAAAUCCAAAAUCUCUGAUUUCGAUUUCCAACUUCUGCAUAUCCACAACAGAUGUAUUGCAAUCGAUUCAGUUUUUAAAUCAAAAGGUGAGGCUGUGUUGCAUUAACAAUAUUUCAAUUUCAAAGUUAAAAAGCUUAAUGAUGUGCCUCUUAGAGAUUACAUCGGAGUUCAAUAGUCCAAGAAUGCUACAUAUGUGCCUCACACUGCAGGUAGGUACUAAGUGAGGCAUGCCAUGGAAAUCUUUCACUUGCUAACUGAAAAUGAGGAUUUAUUGAUUUAUUAUUGGUUUGAUUUCCUGGAUGAUGGCAUUUUUGUAAUAGCUUUUGGAGUGGUUUUAUUUGAGUUGGAGUAUUUACUCA